UGAAUACGAGAUGCUACGGCGUCGAAGCAGUGUAUGUCAGACUUCCAAGAAAAGCUCGCAAUGUCAUAAAUAAAGAAUGCCUGUACCAUAACCGACACAGGUGGGUAGGUAGAGUAUACUAAGGGGCGCGAGAUAACUCUCUCUAAGGAACUCGGCAAAAUAACUCCGUAACUUCGGGAGAAGGAGUGCCUUCUUUAAGAAGGUUGCAAUAACAAGAUCCAAGCAACUGUUUAUCAAAAACACAGGUCUCCGCUAAGUCGUAAGACGAUGUAUGGGGGCUGACGCCUGCCCAGUGCCUGAAGGUUAAAGAAGUUGGUUAGCUUUUGCGAAGCUGAUGACUGAAGCCCUGGUGAACGGCGGCCGUAACAAUAACGGUCCUAAGGUAGCGAAAUUCCUUGUCGGGUAAGUUCCGACCCGCACGAAAGGCGUAAUGAUUUGGAUACUGUCUCGGAGAGGGACUCGGUGAAAUAGACUUGUCUGUGAAGAUGCGGACUACCUGCACCAGGACAGAAAGACCCUAUGAAGCUUUACUGUAACAUGAAAUUGAAAUUGGACUUUAUUUGCGCAGUAUAGGUGGGAGGCGUUGAAAGUAAUCUUGCGGGAUUAGUGGAGCCAUCAGUGAGAUACCACUCCUAUAAUGUUAGAUUUCUAACUUUGGAUCAUGAUCUGGUCAAAGAACAGUUUCAGGCGGGCAGUUUGACUGGGGCGGUCGCCUCCCAAAUGGUAACGGAGGCGUACAAAGGUUUCCUCUGAACGGGUAGAAAUCGUAUCUAGAGUGUAAAGGCAUAAGGAAGCUUGACUGUGAGACCUACAAGUCGAGCAGGGACGAAAGUCGGUCUUAGUGAUCUGACGGUGCUGAGUGGAAAGGCCGUCACUCAACGGAUAAAAGUUACUCUAAGGAUAACAGGCUGAUCUCCCCCAAGAGUUCACAUCGACGGGGAGGUUUGGCACCUCGAUGUCGGCUCAUCGCAUCCUGGGGCGGUAGUACGUCCCAAGGGUUGGGCUGUUCGCCCAUGAAAGCGGUACGCGAGCUGGGUUCAGAACGUCGUGAGACAGUUCGGUCCAUAUCCGGUGUAGGCGUUAGAAUAUUGAGAGGAGCCUUCUUUGGUACGAGAGGACCGAGAAGGACAUACCUCUGGUGUACCAGUUAUCGUGCCAACGGUAAACGCUGGGUAGCUAUGUAUGGAGAGGAUAACCGCUGAAAGCAUCUAAGUGGGAAGCCCACCUCAAGAUGAGUAUUCUC
rnacentral:rRNA from 1 species